rnacentral:rRNA from 1 species
GACGAACCGUGCGAACGUUGUUCGGAAUCACUGGGCUUAAAGGGUGCGUAGGCGGAAUGGCAAGUCGGAGGUGAAAGCCCCCAGCUUAACUGGGGAAGUGCCCUCGAUACUGCUGUUCUCGAGAGAGGUAGGGGCGUGUGGAACUUCCGGUGGAGCGGUGAAAUGCGUAGAUAUCGGAAGGAACGCCGGUGGCGAAAGCGAUGCGCUGGACCUUUUCUGACGCUGAGGCACGAAAGCUAGGGGAGCGAACGGGAUUAGAUACCCCGGUAGUCCUAGCCCUAAACGAUGGGUACUGGGUUGCGGGUCAGACAUGGACUCGCAGCCGAAGCAAAAGUGGUAAGUACCCCGCCUGGGGAGUAUGGUCGCAAGGCUG